rnacentral:lncRNA from 1 species
GAGUUUCCAGUUAGUAACUCAUGGCUCUUGAUGAAAUCUUCAGGGGAUCUUACUUAACCAUUAACAAAUAAAUUAAUCUCUAAUCACAAUAAGACAAUAAUAAGCUCUUUUGUUACACAGGUUGUGAAAAUCGAUGGACGUGUGAUUGGUGAAGGAAAAGUUGGACCGGUAACAAGAACACUCCAAAACGCUUACAAAAACCUGACAGAGGAUUCAGGUGUGCUAAUACCCACAUACCAAGAAGCCUGAGAUACCAAAAAAGAGUGGCGGUAAUAAAGAAGUGCGUCUUGGCUUUAACUUCUAGAAAGGCACUACUCGGUCAAAUUAUAUUUAAUUCAGCGUUCUUUGUUUGACCCAACGUGAGAACUGAAAAGUAUGACCAUUAAUAAAUAAAAGCGACCACGUAUCGAGACUACACACAAUCUCGAGGAUGUACUCUUAUUGGUAACCUUUCAUCUUUAUCCUAACAACUAAGGUUGGUAAUGACUAAUGAGAUUACACUUUACAUGCAAAUUAAACUUUGUUCGUGGCAGUGCUUGCGGAAUGGAAGCCUCCAGUGUAUGACAAUGAUGGUGGGAUUGUGUUGGUGACUGCAACCACACGCCGCAACUCGCCUAAUGUAUGAAUUUGACUCAAGACUUCUCUUCAUGAUAUAACUUUGAAUAAGUCUGUUUUUUUUAUCUUUUUUGCUUUCGUUCAGAACUUGGAUUCCAAGAUUCAUCAUAACAACCUUCUCAAUAACAUACUAGCAAAGGUAUUGUUUUUCAAAUCAAGAAAGUUCAAGAAAUGACAUUGUUUUAUGAGAUUAAUGUUCUUUAUAUAUAUUCAAAAUAAAAACAGAUUGAAAGUAGCAAUGCGAAUGCCGCGGAUGCCAUAAUGCUUGACAAAGAUGGUUUUGUAUCUGAAACCAAUGCAACCAACAUUGUAAGAAAGACUUUGAUAGAGUUUUAAUUUACAGAGAAGUUCAUGUUGUUACAUAUUUAUUUUAUGCUAUACAGUUUAUGGUGAAGAAAGGGCGUGUUCUGAUUCCCCAUGCAGAUUUCUGUCUCCCUGGAAUAACAAGAGCUACCGUAAGGGAAAAAAAAAACUCACGUACUUUUGUUAAGAAACAUCUCAGUAAUAGACUUGAUAUAAAACAUUUUUUGCAUUUUCCUAUAAUAUUUCAAGGUUAUGGAACUUGUGGUUAAAGAGAACCUCAUCUUAGAAGAACGAAGAAUCAGUCUCUCGGAAUUUCAUACAGCAGAUGAGGUCAUUUCAGCUUACAAAUGAUCAUUUUCGUCAAGGUCAUUAUGUGUGUGUCUCUUCCUCUAACAAAAUCUAACAAUGCAUGCUUUUCAGGUAUGGACAACAGGAACUAUGGGAGAACUAAGCCCGGUACGUACAGUCUUUAUUAGCUUACUAAAAUAAAGCAUCCUCUAACAUUUUGCACCUGAAUCUUUGACAUUCAAACAUCAAUCUUUUCAUAAAACAUUUGUAGAUAGGGAGUUUCCAGUUAGUAACUCAUGGCUCUUGAUGAAAUCUUCAGGGGAUCUUACUUAACCAUUAACAAAUAAAUUAAUCUCUAAUCACAAUAAGACAAUAAUAAGCUCUUUUGUUACACAGGUUGUGAAAAUCGAUGGACGUGUGAUUGGUGAAGGAAAAGUUGGACCGGUAACAAGAACACUCCAAAACGCUUACAAAAACCUGACAGAGGAUUCAGGUGUGCUAAUACCCACAUACCAAGAAGCCUGAGAUACCAAAAAAGAGUGGCGGUAAUAAAGAAGUGCGU